CUUUGGUAUUUUCGUCAUAGAGUCAUUCUUACCAAGGAUAACCUUAUUAAGAGGAAUUGGCAUGCAAGUACACAAUGUGUCUUUUGUAACCACGAUGAGUCAAUAAAACAUGUAUUCUUCUAAUGCAAAUUGGCUCAUUCUAUAUGGUCAGUCAUCCAAAUAUCUUUUGGCGUGUAUCCUCCAUGUAGUGUUGCUAAUGUAUCUGGCAACAGGUUACAUGGGACUGACCACAAGUUUAGCAUUCUUCUCGGGGUGGGAGUGCUUGCCGUUAUUUUGGUCGCUUUGGUUGCAUAG
rnacentral:rRNA from 1 species